rnacentral:rRNA from 1 species
ACGGUAAGGCCCCUUCGGGGGUACACGAGUGGCGAACGGGUGAGUAACACGUGGGUAAUCUGCCCUGCACUUCGGGAUAAGCCUGGGAAACUGGGUCUAAUACCGGAUAUGAACUCCUGCCGCAUGGUGGGGGUUGGAAAGUUUUUCGGUGCAGGAUGAGCCCGCGGCCUAUCAGCUUGUUGGUGGGGUAAUGGCCUACCAAGGCGACGACGGGUAGCCGGCCUGAGAGGGUGAUCGGCCACACUGGGACUGAGACACGGCCCAGACUCCUACGGGAGGCAGCAGUGGGGAAUAUUGCACAAUGGGCGAAAGCCUGAUGCAGCGACGCCGCGUGGGGGAUGACGGUCUUCGGAUUGUAAACCCCUUUCAGUAGGGACGAAGCGCAAGUGACGGUACCUGCAGAAGAAGCACCGGCUAACUACGUGCCAGCAGCCGCGGUAAUACGUAGGGUGCGAGCGUUGUCCGGAAUUACUGGGCGUAAAGAGCUCGUAGGCGGUUUGUCACGUCGUCUGUGAAAUCCCUCGGCUUAACCGGGGGCGUGCAGGCGAUACGGGCAGACUUGAGUACUACAGGGGAGACUGGAAUUCCUGGUGUAGCGGUGAAAUGCGCAGAUAUCAGGAGGAACACCGGUGGCGAAGGCGGGUCUCUGGGUAGUAACUGACGCUGAGGAGCGAAAGCAUGGGUAGCGAACAGGAUUAGAUACCCUGGUAGUCCAUGCCGUAAACGGUGGGCGCUAGGUGUGGGGUCCUUCCACGGACUCCGUGCCGUAGCUAACGCAUUAAGCGCCCCGCCUGGGGAGUACGGCCGCAAGGCUAAAACUCAAAGGAAUUGACGGGGGCCCGCACAAGCGGCGGAGCAUGUGGAUUAAUUCGAUGCAACGCGAAGAACCUUACCUAGGCUUGACAUAUACAGGACGACGGCAGAGAUGUCGUUUCCCUUGUGGCUUGUAUACAGGUGGUGCAUGGUUGUCGUCAGCUCGUGUCGUGAGAUGUUGGGUUAAGUCCCGCAACGAACGCAACCCCUGUCUCAUGUUGCCAGCACGUAAUGGUGG